GACGAAAUUACUAAGGGCCACAGGUGGAUGGCUCGGCAGGGGGAGGCGACGAAGGGCGUGUUAAGCUGCGAAAAGCCCGGGGGAGGCGCAUAAAGCCUGCGAUCCCGGGAUGCCCGAAUGGGGAAACCCGGCCCACCGAUGAGGUGGGUCAUCGCAUGGGGAAGGGUUUAUACCCGAGUACCCAUGCGAGGCGAACCCGGGGAAGUGAAACAUCUCAGUACCCGGAGGAAAAGAAAGAGAAAUCGAUUCCCUGAGUAGCGGCGAGCGAAAGGGGAACAGCCUAAACCGUUCCCACCGUUAAAGCCCGGGGGCGUUGGUGGGAACGGGGUAGUGGGGCGUAGCCGGAGGGGGCCCCGGACCCCUCGGGGAGUUACAAAACCGUUCUCUAGCCGAAGUCGGUGGAAUACCGACGCCAUAGAGGGUGACAGCCCCGUAGGCGAAAGGGAACGGUCUCCCUGGGCUACGACCCCGAGUACCGCGGGACACGUGGAAUCCUGCGGGAAUCUGGGCGGACCACCGCCUAAGGCUAAAUACUACCCCCUGACCGAUAGCGGACGAGUACCGUGAGGGAAAGCUGAAAAGCACCCCGGGUAGGGGGGUGAAAUAGAACCUGAAACCUGUGGCCUACAACAACUCGGAGCCCCCAUUUGGGGGUGACGGGGUGCCUAUUGAAAAAUGAGCCCGGGAGUUGCCGUCGCCGGCGAGGCUAACCCUGCGGUGAGGAGCCGUGGGGGGAGCCGUAGGGAAACCGAGUCCGAAUAGGGCGCUAAGUCGGCGGCGGCAGACCCGAAUCCGGGUGAGCUACCCAUGGGCAGGGUGAAGGCGGGGUAACACCCGCUGGAGGCCCGAACCGGUGGACGGUGAAAAGUCCUCGGAUGACCUGUGGGUAGGAGUGAAAAGCUAAUCGAACCCGGUGAUAGCUGGUUCUCCCCGAAAUGCAUCUAGGUGCAGCCUCGGGUGGUCCCUGCGGGGGGUAGAGCACUGUUGGGGCUAGGGCAACCGAACCCCGACAAACUCCGAAUACCCGCAGGGUAGGGGCUAUUGCCCCGACAACCCGGGAGUGAGGGCGUGGGGGAGAAGCUCCACGUCCGAGGAGGGAAACAACCCAGACCACCCGCUAAGGCCCCAAAGUGCCGGCUAAGUUGGAAAGGAUGUGGGGACGCUAAGACAGCUGGGAUGUUGGCUUAGAAGCAGCCAUCAUUUAAAGAGUGCGUA
rnacentral:rRNA from 1 species